GACGAACGCUGGCGGCGUGCUUAACACAUGCAAGUCGAACGGUAAGGCCCUUCGGGGUACACGAGUGGCGAACGGGUGAGUAACACGUGGGUGAUCUGCCCUGCACUUCGGGAUAAGCCUGGGAAACUGGGUCUAAUACCGGAUAGGACUCCUGGCUUCAUGGUUGGGGGUGGAAAGCUUUUGCGGUGUGGGAGGGGCCCGCGGCCUAUCAGCUUGUUGGUGGGGUAAUGGCCUAACAAGGCGACGACGGGUAGCCGGCCUGAGAGGGUGACCGGUCACACUGGGACUGAGAUACGGCCCAGACUCCUACGGGAGGCAGCAGUGGAGAAUAUUGCACAAUGGGCGCAAGCCUGAUGCAGCGACGCCGCGUGAGGGAUGACGGCCUUCGGGUUGUAAACCUCUUUCAGCUAUGACGAAGCGCAAGUGACGGUAGUAGCAGAAGAAGGACCGGCCAACUACGUGCCAGCCGCCGCAGUAA
rnacentral:rRNA from 1 species